GACGAACGCUGGCGGCGUGCCUAACACAUGCAAGUCGAACGGAAAGGCCCUGACUUUGGGCGCAGGUCGAGUGGCGAAGGGGGGAGUAACACGUGGGUAAGCUGUACCUGUCUUAGGGGUAUCUUAAGGAAACAGGGGAUCAUAAAGCAUAGGAGUUAUUGCUCCAUGGUGGGGGUUGGUAAGAUUCGGUGGUUGGGGAUGGAAUCGCGGAUUAUGAGCUUGUUGGUGGGGUAGUGGCAUAGCAAGGUUAUGAAGGGUAGCAGGCCUGGGAGGGGGACCGGCCACAUUGCGCCUGAGAUACGGCCCAGACUCCAACGGUACGCAGCGGUGGGGAGUAUUACACAGUGGCCUGAAGCCUGAUGCAACAACGCCGCGUGCGGUAUGACGUCCUUCGGGUUGUGAACCACUGUCGCCUGUGACGAGGCGUGAGUGACGGUAACGGGUAAAUAAGCACCGGCUAACUACGUG
rnacentral:rRNA from 1 species